CAGGAUGCUCAGUGGCUCCUCUGAAACAAAGUUGUAUUAAAAAAUGCACUAUCUCUUCCCAUCUAAACCUAGAGGAGAAGCAUACACAUGAUUACAUCAUCAACGUCACAAUUACUCAUAGUAGGUAAAUACAAGAAGAAAUGGAAAAAAACUUUGUGAGAAGGAAGAAAAUUCUCAUGAACACCACCACCAGUUGGUGCCACAUUAAUGAACAGCUGGUGGCUAGAGGCAAGAUCUGGGAAGAGGACUCUAGCAGACAUAGCCAAUUCCCAAUUGGCAAAGCAGGAGUACGUAGCUUCAGACCUACAUCCUGCAAGGAACAGAACUCAGCAGUCUGAAUUUUUCCUACGGCCUCAGUUCUCAAAGAACCAGGAUGUCUUCUGCUGAUGGAAUCUUGCCCUUAAGCAUCACAGCAUCACGGAACCAUUGAGGCCCCAGCUGUGACCAGAAGCAAAACAGUUGUUUUUCUUCAUGCCAGAACUGUCCUGCAGGCAAGAAGACUAGGCCUUACACAGCCAUAAUUAUAAUUUAACUGUGAAAUUCUUUUUUUACCCCAAAUUAUGUAGAAUAGCUCCUGACAUUCUUUAUAUGAUAAACAUGUUGCAAAUACAUAUUUAAAAAUAAAUCUUCUCCCAGCCUUUCCACUUGUGGUGAGACAAAAGAGAAAAAGAGAAUAUUUCAGCACUUCAGAAAGUAGAACCUAAAAGCUACCUCUUUUUUACACAAAGUUGAAGGACAGACCUCAUUAACAGAAUCAUUCAGUAUCAUGGUGUCAGAUUAUCGAGUUUUCUUACUGUUUGCUUAGAAAAGAGAUGCUCUCACAUUUCAUAAAUAAAUAUCCAUAUUAUGGAACUUGCCAUCACCUUCCCUUCCCUGAAAGUUAGUUUUUCAUACACUAAAACCACUGAAAAAGAAAUAGAUUUUAAACACUUUGAAGUAUUGAAAUAAAUACAGUAGGCUUUAUUUAUUUGAAA